GACGAACGCUGGCGGCGUGCUUAACACAUGCAAGUCGAACGGAAAGGCCCCUUUGGGGGUACUCGAGUGGCGAACGGGUGCGUAACACGUGAGUAACCUGCCCUUGACUUCGGGAUAACUUCAGGAAACUGGGGCUAAUACCGGAUAGGAAUAAUUGCUGCAUGGUGGGGGUUGGAAAGCUUCGGCGGUUUUGGAUGGAAUCGCGGCGUAUCAGCUUGUUGGUGGGGUAGUGGCUUACCGAGGCGGUGACGGGUAGCGGGCCUGAGAGGGCGACCGGCCACCUUGGGUCUGAGGUACGGCCCAGACUCCUACGGUAGGCAGCUGUGGGGAAGAUUGCCCAAUGGGCGGAGGCCUGAUGCAGCAGCGCCUCGGGCGGGAUGACUGCCUUCGGGUUGUAAACCGCUUUCAGCAGUGGCGAAGCUUGUGGUGACGGUACCUGCAGAAGAAGCACCGGCUAACUACGUG
rnacentral:rRNA from 1 species